rnacentral:lncRNA from 1 species
UUUCUUUAAUUAUGUAAACCAAUUAAAAUGAGUGUCUGUGACUUUGUCUUAGGAUCCAGAAAUUCAAACAAAGGCUAAAGCUUUGAAUUGAGUCUUAAUGAAAAAUAACACAGUCGAACAUUCUCAUUAAUAUCAGUUUAUUCAUAAUUCUAAAAAAAUUACUUCAGGUAGAGAAAAUGGGAGAAAGAAACUUAUGACAGUAGUCAAAUUGAGUAGUUUGUGUAUCGUGUUUCUUUUGCUACUGCAGGGGUUUGCGACCUUUGACUAAAGAAUGUCAUGCUGCCAAGAUUUUCUCAAAACAUAUGAAGGUUGAGGAUCAGGUAGUGAUAUCUUUUCUCAAAACUUUUAUUAGGACCGAGAACUGGAAUAAUAUAUAAGGUGAGGAGGUCUUUCAAAGCGUUGCAUUGUUCAUAAAGUAAAUAUGUGUGCGCUCAUUUAUUUUUUAGAUAAUUAAUGGUAAAGUAAGAGUUCUUAUGUUUUGGAUUUACAGUUGUUUUAUUUUGACUCGCAUAUUUCGAUAAUUUUUAUAUUUUAAAUAUUUUCAGGUAUACAUUGAAGGAUACUUGGUGUAAGCUGUAAAGUAAUGGGUCUUAUGCUCAAAAUAUUGUUUCUCUAUUUUCUGCAUGUUUGUAUAUUUUUGGUUCCAUCUUUUGUAAAGUUAACUAAUUAUACAUGGUUAUGAUAAUUUUUGGGUAUGGAAUGAUUGUUUUUUUGGUGGUUUGUAUAUGCAUUGAUGAUUAUAAGUUUUG